CUAAAAUGUCUUUUUGUUACAUAGUGUUCUGUUUAUACAAUGCCAUGUAUUGAAUAUUAUGUUUGAAGACUAUAUAUAUUUAUAGAGUCAUACAACUUUUGAGAAGAUCCUAUUUCUUAAUAUUGAGAAUAAAUUCAGGAAUUUCUAAAAUAAUGAGCCUCUUUUUUAGAGAAGAUAUCCCCAUUAUCUUACAAGGUUCUUUAAAUUGCUGAAUUGGUUCUACUUACAUCUCCUUCAUGUGACUUCCACUUGAAGCAGAGAUACACUUCAUGAUUUUUAUUGCAGGCAGAUGGUAAGAUUUGUGUGGAGAUCCUAGACAAUUUUUAUUGGACUGUUAAUUACUAGCAUUUGAAUUACUGAUAUAGAAUUAUGCUAAUAUUUUGUUAUUUCUGCAACAGUUACCCGUCUUCUGGAGAGAAACGUGACUGGUAUUGUUUUUGUGACUUUCUUGUUUUCUUCAUUUACUCAUUGUGGUAGGUAACAACAAGGAUAAGACAGUGUUCAAAUGCUCUUUCAAAAGCAGUGAGUAAUUCUGCCAGGCUUAGGAAAAAAUGCAGUGUCAUUUCACUGCAGUCCCACCACCCUACUGUGACCUGUAGCUUAAUGUGCACUGCCCUAACCUGGACUGUCAAGUACAAGUUGUAUGUGGUCUCUUCUAAUGUGAUAGGAGAAAAUUUUUAUGAAUACAGUCAGCACUGGUUCUCAGCUAGAGACUGGAAAAGCUGUGAAUAUUAAGUACAAAGACUGACCAUCUUUUACUUAAUUUUCUAUUUUAGUUGAAAAUGAGAUAUGCCUCUGAAGAUUAGCCAGGUCCUCCAGAGUAUUAUAAGCCUUGUCUGUCAGCAUAUAUAUAAUACAAUUAUAAUACAAUAUACUUAUACAAUACAAUUUUGUUUUGGAGUCCUACAGAGACUCCUAAAAAUUCAGAAAUGCAAGGUCAAACCCUGAGUGCUUUUAGGCGUACAAACCUGAUUCAUAUAAAUUUGUGAUCAUAAAAAGUUUUCUCUCUCUGUUACAUAUUAGAACAAUCUGAAGAAUGACAGAUCCCCAGUAGGAUGAAAAAAUGAAAUAUCAAUAUUUUAGUUCCUCUGCCUCCAUAUGGUAUUAUUAUUCUUUUACUCAUACACCCAAUAUUAUGGCAUCUAGUUUUUUGAACAGGAAGCGGAAGCAAUCACCUUCCUAAGCACUAGUGCAAGGCAUCUGCAAGGAUUGGGAAAUGCUCUGGAGUUAUGAAUAAUACACUUGUAGCAGAGUUAGGAUGUAAGGAUCCCCUGAAGAGUGAGAGAGGAUAUACUAUUGAAAAGAAUUCUUUCAAAUACAUCCUGAUUUAAAAAAGGGUCUCCCAUUACUAUGAUUAUUUAUCACAGCCAUUUUGCAUAGUGCUAAUUGCAA